UAAAAGAUCAUUUUAUUGAAUUGACAUCACAGCCUAAAAAUACGGAUGAACUAAACAAAUAGAAUUGCAGUAUUAAAACUCUAAUAUCACAAACUCUGAUCACUUUAUUUGACAAGUUUUUGUUCCACUAUAAAUAUCUGCAGUUAUCUUUUUGGUCAGUAGAGAGCAGUAGAGAGCGAGCAAUCCCCUGUAGAGAAGAGAUCAGUGGAGCAAGUUGGGUGCAACAAGUGACUGCGGUUCCAGCCUCCAGUAAAAAAGUCAAGCCAGCAGAAACAACGAUUGUUCAUACUAAGCAUUACGUGUCUGCGCCUGACAUGCACCAGCAUCCUACAUGAGGGGCACGAGACGGACCUGAUCUACCGAGGUGGCAUAGGGUGGCAAAUGCCACCCUAAAAGAAAGCCUUGCUACCCCUGCUGCCAGCCCAAUUUGCAGCGACGAAUUUGACAUUUACGAUCAAGGAACACCAAUGUCUGACUGAAGGCAAUGCAGCACGAGAUGACGAGCGGCUGCAGCGCCAGCGCAGUAACACACUGUUUUGUUUUGAAAAAGCGAGGGCGCUAGGACGCACGAGUCAGGAGGAAAGAAGACACAGGGGGAGAGAGACAUAUCCAAGUCCAGUUGCGAGGUGCCAGCGCAGCCAAUGCGAGACAGUUUCCCUAAGACCCUCCAGGGAGGAGCCAGAAGAAGCUUCCGCAGCAACUGGUACAAAGUUCAUCCCUGGUUAGAAUUCUCACAAUCAAAAGAUGCAGCUUACUGUUUUGCAUGUCAGCAUUUUCCCUCGAAUCAAGUUCGUUCAGUUGUUGGACCCAUACCAGGAUGUUUUUUACGAGUUGUUCACAUUGUGUAAAAUAGUGGUUGUUUUACCUGUGAGAGAAGUUUUUCAUCUCUCCAGCUCAUAAAGACUUAUUUGCAGUCUACUAUGACUGCAAACUGCCCCCUUCUUGCCACCCCAUAAAUAUUUUUCUCGCUCUACCUCUGGGCAUUACAGACAUUAUUUAAAACACUUUUGCUUUUGAUUUUGAUUUCCUUCUUAUUUCACUACCAAACAAGCUUUGAAUCAGUUCCCUACCAGCAUUUUUUUCCCUGAACAUCU